rfam:Physcomitrella patens subsp. patens PHYPAscaffold_7 genomic scaffold, whole genome shotgun sequence.
UAAGAGGCUUUUAUAAAAGCUAUUUUUAGAUAUCUUAAAAUAUUAU